AUGUUUAUAUUCUAAUAUUUGUAUAUCUGUUUAGUUUUCACGGUAACUGAGGUAAUCAAGGUGAUUACAUGACUGAUGGUCCACAUCAAAGAAAAAUAAACCUUGAAAAUCACCCGUCGAGACUGCGCAAAUUAAUUCAAGUGCUGGGGAGCUGCUACAGUGAAAACUCGAGGCUUCCGUGUGUCACCUUCCAUUGACGGUGAGACGUUUGGAUCGGACAUCGGCCGAAGUUUGACGCUGCUUCGGAGUCAACGCCAUCAUGAGGAGCUGUCUUCGCAGUAGAUCCAAGUUUGCAUCAGAAACUGAUUCCAACAGAGGAUGAUUGCUGGCUCGGUGAGAAAUUGACUGAUCAAACAACGCGGAAACAACUUAGAGAUGACGUCACGUGACUGUUAUUGGCGUUUAUGAAAUUACGCCGAAUUACUUAAAAGGUAACUGGACUAAUUAAAAAAAAAAAAACAACAAAAAAGAAAAAUUAGAAUGGUGUUUUUGCAAGUAUGUUUGAAUGUGGGUUUAAUUUCACUGUAAGGUUUAGGUCAUUGUAAAGAGUUAAAAUGUCACUGCCAAGUGAAAAAGGACUUUCUGCUGAAGAUUUGUGUGCUGAAGAAAAGCCAAAAGGACAAGAGUUGGUUUCAGGUCCUCGCACAAGAAAGUUAACUGAAAUAGGAGAGCAGUACAAAGAAGCAGAAUCUGCAAAACAGACAAAGGCAUUUCUUAAAUCUUAUGUAUCCUGGAAACAAAUUGCAAGAGAAGCCAAGAAGAAAUUAAAAGGUUUCUGCUCUCAGGAGAAUCUGGAUGAAAUAAAUCAGCAAGUCCAAAACAGUCUUGAUAAAGUAAAACAGAAUUAUGAGUUUCUUCAACGUAAUUCUUUAAAUACUCCAGAUAUUGUGCAGAAACUAGAUGCCUGUACUAUAUUAACAAAUGAGAUUUAUGAUCUUGUGUGUAAGCGUUUGGAAGGGAGUAUUGUUGAAGAGAAAUUUAAUCAAGAAGUUGAAAAGGAAAGUGUUCUGCCCCAGGCUUGAAGUUGGAAAUGUCUUAACUAGUUUUAAAAAGUUCUAUAGUAUUAAUUUCUCUGUAUUUUAUUUUGAAGGAGAAUUUUGAGAUAGCAGUGCAUUGUGGGUAGCAGAGGCAGUUGCAGUUUGGAAUACCUGUUCACAGAGAGAAAGCCUGCCUGUUAAAGUAUGAACUUCACCUCCUGUGUUGUCAAUCUUUUCUUACACCUCUGAAAAGAAUGGCUUUUCACUGAACCUUUUUAUUGAGCUUUUCUACACCGCUGCUCAAAGUUGUCAAGAAAACGUAAUAAAGGAGCAAGACGCUCAGCUUCCUGGCUCAUGAAAUUGA